GGCGGCUGGGGCCGGAGCGCCUUGGGGUGGGGGCAGCGACCUGCGACGUCCUCGCUUCCGGAUGAGCGAAGCGAGCUGAGCAACCCGGGCUAGCGCUUCGUUCUCUGCACUCGGGAGGCAGCCUCGGUCGCCCGUUGAGCCGUCUGGGAAACAGCGGCCCUGCGUGGGUUAGGAGGUGGCCUACGGCUAAGCCCCCAUCGGAGCCCAUGCCCACCUGACUGCCGGGUCCGUGGCCUUUCCUGUCUGGAAGUGUUCGCCGCCCCUGAGCCGCUCUAGGCUUAAUUUUAUUACCAUAGCAGCUGCCCCUCCAGUUCCUCUUAAAUGAUCCACGCGUUACAGCCCACAGAGCAGCGUCGCGCCUGUCACCUUAUCUUCCCAGCAACGCUUAGGUCAAGGAUCAUCAGCCUGCGGAUGGACCAAGUCCAGUUGGCCACCUGUUAUUAGAAACCAUAUCAUCUGCCCUGGAGACUGUUAUAAAAUAAGAGAUGUGGAAGACUUAACAGUUAAAUGCAAUACGUGGCUUUUGUUGGGAUCCUGAACCAAUAGUGUACUGACUGUAAAAAAAGACACCUUUGAGACCACCAGGGAGAUCUGAAUAUGGAUUGAGUAUCAGAGAGCAUGGGGAAGAAGAAAGAAAAGAAGAAGAAAGAAAAGGAAGAAAAGAAAAGAAGAAAAUGACUUCACUUGAAGGAGCUAUGGUAUCCUCACGGAAGAGAGCCAAGCUUUGGUGAAAGCGAGCAAGAGAAGCAAAAGUUCAGAGAAGGAAAUGAAGAGGUACCAGCUUCCCCUAUUGCCAUACCACCACCACAAAUUAAGCUAGAUGAGCAGAGGGGCUAGCAGAAGGUGACAGGAACUUGGUGACUACCAGCAUCAGCUGUUCACAUCACCACCCACAAGUAGGAGGACCACCAAUGAGUAGACAUGUUCACAUUCCUGAGAGAAGGGAUCACAUUAGCUCAAUUAGCUCAGGACCCUGAGAUCAAGACCUGAGCUGAGAUCAAGAGUUGGACGCUUAACCGACUGAGUCAUCCAGGUGCCCUAACUCAGCCUAUCUUUUAAUGACAGACUAUUGGUCCCUGGUCUCCUGUUGACCUACAGCCUUUGGGUAAGGUGCUUGCUUGCUCUGAUUGGAUUCACUGUA